UACGUAGGGUGCGAGCGUUUGUCCGGAAUUAUUGGGCGUAAAGGGCUCGUAGGCGGUUUGUCGCGUCGGGAGUGAAAACUCAGGGCUUAACCCUGAGCCUGCUUCCGAUACGGGCAGACUAGAGGUAUGUAGGGGAGAACGGAAUUCCUGGUGUAGCGGUGAAAUGCGCAGAUAUCAGGAGGAACACCGGUGGCGAAGGCGGUUCUCUGGGCAUUACCUGACGCUGAGGAGCGAAAGUGUGGGGAGCGAACAGG
rnacentral:rRNA from 1 species